GCCUACGGGACGCAGCAGCGGGGAAUAUUGCACAAUGGGGGAAACCCUGAUGCAGCAACGCCGCGUGAGUGAAGAAGGUUUUCGGAUUGUAAAGCUCUGUUAGCAGGGAAGAGGAAGGACGGUACCUGCAGAGGAAGCCACGGCUAACUACGUGCCAGCAGCCGCGGUAAUACGUAGGGGGCAAGCGUUAUCCGGAUUUACUGGGUGUAAAGGGGGCGCAGACGGCAAUGCAAGCCAGGAGUGAAAGCCCGGGGCCCAACCCCGGGACUGCUCUUGGAACUGCAUGGCUGGAGUACAGGAGGGGG
rnacentral:rRNA from 1 species